rnacentral:lncRNA from 1 species
UUUGGCUCUUAAAAUAAGAAUAAGUUUAAUUGAUUUUCUUAUUUUUAAAUUUACUAAUUUAUUCUUACUUGUUUAUAUUUGGUAAUGAAAUAUAUUAACAUAUUUUUUGAUUUGGAUAUCCUUUAAAAUAAGGAAAAUUGUAUUAUGAUUGAUUCCUUGAAAUAUUUAUUUCCUUUAUUUGUUCCCCCCUCCUCUACUAUAUAAAGAGACUCCUUUUAUUCAUUCAGACACUCAUUCACUCUCAACCAAAAAUUCUCUCAUCACUCUCACUUCUCUCAUUGCUCUCUUGGCUACUUAACAAAACAUUAAUAUUCCGGUAAUUAUUCAAGGGUUCUUCUUUGCUAUCUUAUUACUUUGUUCGAGUAAAGGUUGAAUCAAUUCGUUUUGCUUAACGGGUUAGUAAUCUUAACAUUCAUACUAUCUUCAUAUUCACAUAUUUGUGUAAACCAUUGUCUGUUUUUUAUAUAGAAUUCGUCAUUAAACGAUUGCAUAUUGUCUCACCUUAACUAACAAGUGUGAUUACUUGUGUAGUUAUUUAAUUACUUUGACAGGUUUCAUAUUUGAAGUUCAAGUUGAAGAUUAACUGAAGAAGGAUUUGUUUAUUUGUUUGAAUGUAUAUAUAUAUCUAUAUAUUUUUAUUUUUUCCGCUAUUUUAUUUAUUUGAAUGAUGUAACAAUUGUAACCCUAAAGAUCAUAUAAUAAAUUUAUUUGGGGGUCGUCUAUGGGAGGGGGAUUUAUAUGCUUACUUGCUUCAUUAAUUUUUUUUAGAAAUCAUGCCUAUAGGUUUGUCUUUAAUCGCCUUGAUUUAAUAUUUGUAGGUGUUAUAAUCUAACCAAUUUUCAAUUUACUUGACGCUUUCGUUAAUAAGUCUAAAAAAAAAAAUAACUAGAUUCCAUUAAUUUUUAAAUAUUAAAAUCAAGUCCUAAUAAUAAUAGGUUGUUAGAUGUUAAAAUAUGUUAUAAAUUUUCAUUUGUCUUAUCACGUAGAACUAUGCCUAAGUAUUAAAUUGUUCACAUCAUUUACAAAAUCAUGCAUAUAUAUGUUACUCUGUUUUUUUAAACACCUAGAAAUCAUGUCUAUAGGGUUGUAAAUAAACUCUCAGCAUGUCCAUAAAAAAUAAAAUUUUGUUUGUGCAUAUUUGAGCCCUCCCCUAAAAUUAGUUAAUAUUAUUUAACUAGUAAUCCCAUUCGUUUUUCUUGAAGAUUUCCGCAUUCCUUGCAAUAUGUUAUUUUCUUAAAUUAACACUAAAUUAGAAUCAUUUCAUGCAUUUAACUUGACUUUAAAAAACAUUUCAUAUCAAAACCUUGUAACAUAAUUUUCUCAAAAAGUCAUUAUUCAAUCUUCUUUUAAAACUUUGGAUUGAUUUUGACAUUGUUUGUUUUUGAAAAUAAAUUAUAAGCACUAUCUCCUAACCUAUCGUUAGUGGGAAAGUCAAAGGAACUACGAGGUCUAGUUCCAAUUUUUAAACCCGACGCAUCCUCGGAAGUACCGCCUACCCAUGAAUUAAAAAAAAAAUUAUGUGCAUUUAUAUGUAAAUGUUUAUGUGCCUACGUGUGAACUAAAUCUUUUAAAUCAUUUUUCAAAACAUAACUAUUUUUAGACCGACCUCAAAUCAAAAUUGUUUUCUAUGGUGGAGGAGCGCGUUCAAUAAUAUCGUGGCAUCAUCCCUAUAAAGAAACAAACAUUUUUUUAAUAAAAAUUCCUAUUCAAAACUUAUCAAUUUUCAACUUUAUUUUCGCACAUAUUAAUUGCUUAAUAUUUGCCAAUUUUGUUUAUAACAUAGUGUCGUAUGUCAAAAUAAAUAAAAUGAGCUUAAUUGUUUAUUUAUUGUCAUCGCCUAGUUUUACAUAUCUAAAUAAAUAAGAAUAAUAGUCUUAAUUGUUUCGUAUUUGUUAUCACUUAGUAAGAUUAAAUAAAUUAAUAAACGACCUUGAUUGCUACUUGUACCCCCACAUAGAUUGCAUGAGAUACGGCCGGGACCCACACUUGUGGACCUCGAGGGAUGCCUAACACCUUCCCCUCGAGGUAAUUUGAACCCUUACCCUAAUCUCUGGCCCGUUGACCUUAGUUGGACUUAGUUAGGAUAGAUAGGUGCCCUAACGCACCUUAAUUCGUUAGGUGGCGACUCCAAAACUCAAAAAUCCCAAAAGAGUUGUUAGGUCGUGCACAAAACCCGUUUUCUGCGAAAAUGGGGCGCGACAGAAUGGCGACUCCGCUGGGGAUAUUAGGUUCUUACCAUUACGUGUUAACUGCUUAUUUAUGUGGGGUUUACUUUAUUUUUGUCAUUCCACUAUUUGUUAGGUGCUUACCAUGUUUAGCUUAUUUUGUUUCCUUAUUUAUUGUCUUCUCUCCAUGUUCCACCCUUUUCCUUUUUCUUAAUUUUUUAUUAUCAUGUUUCACCCCCUUCCCUUUCCCCUUAUUUGCUUACAUGUUUAGUCUCGUAUUCUUCUGCUUUAUUUGUGUAGUUUUCAUAUUUUUAUAUGUUUAAUUUUCUUUAUUCAUGCUUAUUUAUUUAUUUAUUGUUUAUAAGCUAUCUAUAUGUUACCGCUUUCCAACUUGAAUGCUAAAUGUUUAUUGCUUUGAUAAUUGGCAUCCCGCUCAUACUUCCCCCAAUUGGGACCCUCUUCCUUUUUUAUUUUGUUCUCGUGAUGUUGUGCCUUCGCACCUCUCACAACUACUCCAUAUUAUUCAAAUACCCAUUAUAGAGAGUCGGCAUAUGCGUGGACGUAGUGGAUAGUUUUACUACCGCGAAGCCACGAGCCUCUCGCAUAGAAUCCCUUUCAAGUCCGUGUCAAGCCACUCUUAGAAGUCCUGGUUAAAUCAUACAUGCUGCAUAAACUUAGGUGGUUUGACCCUUGGUGUCAAUCCACAUAAUUAGUAGCCACCCUCUCGUCUAAAGGGCCCCAACACCCUUAGACAAAUUGCAUAUUUAUGUGUCAACGUGAUCAUAAUAAUUAAAUCAAGCCAACGUUGUCAAAAUGGAGUUUAGAAGUCGUCUGUUACUUUGUUUCCAUAGUCAUGGCUCACCCUCAUUUUCCCAACACACAAAUGGUGGUCAAAGUUAAUCCAAUUUUUUAAGAUGAUUUUGGCGAUGAAAAAGAGAGAAGAUGGGCUUGUAACCUCCUCAAUACCGACUAUACCCCAGAAAUGAGGAAGCAGAUUGUGCCUAGCAUUGGAGAGCAACAUAAUUAAAAUUUUUUUUUCUUUUUCUUUAUUCCCCAUGUGUUAUCCCUAGACCUUUAGUUAUCUCUAGAUUGAUGUAUUAAAUAGAAAUUAUUUUUAAUAAUUGAAAGUCGUUUUAUUGUCUAACUCUAAACUCCAAAUUGGCAAAUAAGGUUUGAAUUAGUUAUUGUGCAUCACUUAUGUGUCGCUUAGGCCUACCUCUGGCUUAACGAGGCUCUUUGGCAUUUAGGUCGUUUAUCUUAAAUAACGUGUUUGAUAUCUCAAUUUAUGCAAUGUUCUAACUUUGGUUUUAUUUUGCUUUUAUUUAUUUUACCCUUUCCCAAUGGUUGAUCUGUAGACCAUGGUUUAUCACACGCGAUCAAAGGUCAUUUCCUCUUCUUCCGACUGAGAAUUGCAAAGGAAAAGUGAAAGGGACUAAUGCUAAGGUUAUGUGCAAAAACUAUUGAAAAAGUGUCUUUCAGACAAGUUGGUAUCAAACCUUGAGCAGAAAAUAAAGAAGUUAGAAGUAGAGUUGUUGGACAUGCGUGAGUGGGCAAAGUUUUUACUCUCUGCCAAUCCAACUUUUGAGACGAACAUUCACUCUCCAAAAUAAUCUUCCUCCGGAUUACUCUACCUCUCAAAGUCAACCGAGCUUCAUUCAAAUGCUUCUAAAAACAUCUUCUUUCCAAAUCACCCAUAUCCUCCGCAAACACCAUGCAUAUGCUCUUAAACCUCAACAUCUUACUUUACACCCGCAUUAUCCCACUAUGCAAGCUCCUCAAUACGAAACACCUCUGCACCAAGUUCCUUGGCAUCAUGCACCUCUCAUGCCAUUUCCAAACCCUCCAUAUCAAAUGUCUCUGUACCAAAGGCCUCCUAUGCCAUAUCUUUUGGAACUACGUCAGACCUGAUUCUCGUUUAGGAGGGGAUACGUAGGCGCUCCUAUGGGGUUCGGUCUUAUCAUAAAUAAAACCUUUAUUUUCCCCUUCUAUUGAUAAUUGGGGCAGAAUUUUUGAGAGGUUCUCAAAAAUUCCAUCAAGAUUUCUUCUUGCGCAUCUCCAUACUAGGGCAGAAAUUUUGAGAAAAUCUCAAAAUUUUCGAUAAUACUCGGAAGAGAAUUCUAUCAGACACCAAAGAAGCACGCUGUGCCAAAUCAUGGAUACAGAUCAACCUCCCCUUCAAACUAACUAUUUUUCUUUGAAUGUAGAAAAUACAGGUACAUAUACAAAGGGAGUUUCAAGAAUCAACAUACCACUUUUGAUCCUGACAAAUGACACUUAACCUUUCCAACAAGGCGGAUGUCCAAGCUACUACAUACCCUCAUCAUUCAAUAUGAAGUUGCACUAUGCCUGAGAUUUAGGUUUGCAUGACUACAUUAUGCCCGAGAUCGCACUAUGCUCGAGAAAUGUAUCAUAGCAUGUGCCCGAUAAUGCAUGUGCCGAAAAAUGCAUCAUUGCAUUGUGCCCGAAAAAUGCAUCAUUGCAUUGUGCCCGAAGAAAUGCAUCAUUGCAUGUGCCUGAUAAUGUAUCAUUGCAUGUGCCCGACAAUGCAUGUGCCCGAAGAAAUGCAUCAUUGCAUUGCGUCCGAAGAAAUGCAUCAUUGCAUUGUGCCCGAAGAAAUCCAUUAUUGCAUGUGCUCAAUACUGCAUGUGCCCGAAUAAAUGCAUCAUUGCAUAUGCCCGAAGAAAUGCAUCAUUGCAUGUGCCCGAAGAAAUGCAUCAUUGCAUUGUGCCCGAUAAUGCAUGUGCCCGAAGAAAUGCAUCAUUGCAUUGUGCCCGAUAAUGCAUGUGCCCGAAGAAAUGCAUUAUUACAUAUACUCGAUACUGCAUGUGCCCGAUAUUACAUUGUUCCCGAAGAAGUGCAUCAUUACACUGUGCUCGAUAUUGCAUGUGCCCGAAGAAAUGCAUCAUUGCAUGUGCUCGAUAUUGCAUGUGCCUGAAGAAAUGCAUCAUCGCAUUGUGCCCGAGACUGCAUUGUGCCCGAAGUUUGCAUAAGCCCAAGAUUGCAUCGUGCUCGAAGUUUACAUGUGCCCGAAUCAAAUCAAGUCACAAGAGUAUCAACAGAUGUCAAAAACAGAUACGCUCUCUUUACUCAUUAUUUAUAUUCCAAAGGCGUCAUCCUCCAAAGGCGUCAUCUUUCAUGGCCUAUGGACUUCAUGUCAUGGCCUGAGGACUUAUUUUAUGCUUACCAUGUCCCUAAGGUAUCAUAGUCUAAAGGCAUCAUCCUCAUGGCCUGCGGACAUCAUAUCAUUGCCUAAGGGUUUAAUUUCUGUCUAUCAUAAUCCGAAGGUGUCAUAGUCUAAAGGCGUCAUUUUCAUGGCCUACAGAUAACAUUUUCAUGACCUGAGGAUACACCCUGCAUAUCAUGGCCCUAGACAUCAUAGCCUAAGACGUCAUUUUGCAUGGUCUUAAGGCAAACAUUCAUGGUCAACAUGGGAAUUGCAUCAUGUUUACAUAUAUAUGUUCUAUUUACUCUAUUUAAGCUAUAUUACAAGUUACAGUUAUGCAGAUUACAGACAAAGUCGCCUUUUGAACGGCUGUUCACUUGUCUACAAACAAAGGCUCCGACAAAUUCCUGGCUACUCGCACUAUCAUUUCGCUCCUCAUCUAUCAUUCAGGCUACCAUGAAGAUAUCUUCGGAUUCAACUCGCCACCGUGACAUACUGUCUCUUCAUCUAGGCUCGUCCGCCUUACAAUGCGACAUCUAGGCUCGUCCGCCUUACAAUGCGACAUCUAGGCUCGUCCGCCUUACAAUGCGACAUCUAGGCUCGUCCGCCUUACAAUGCGACAUCUAGGCUCGUCCGCCUUACAAUGCGACAUCUAGGUUCGUCCGCCUUACAAUGUGACAUCCAGGCUCGUCCGCCUUACAAUACGACAUCUAGGCUCGUCCGCCUUACAAUAGGACAUUUAGGCUCGUCCGCUUUAAAAUGCCAUUUAGGUUUGUCCAUCUUAUAGGACAUUUAGGUCGUCCACCUUAAAGGGACAUUUAGGCUUGUCCGCCUCAUAGGACAUUUAUUCGUCCGCUUUAUAUGAUAUUUAGGUUGUCCGCCUUAAAAUGACACUUAGGCUCGUCCGCCUUAAAAUGAUGUUUAGACUCUCCUAACAACAAGAGAUUUUUGUCUAUAUUAUAUCUUUACAGUAUCAAAUCUAUUGGAGUUUGACGUCAUUCUUCAGAGAUGGGUUCAAUCCUUCGAGAAGUUGAAGACUAUCAAGGCUUGCACUACGUCUCAAACAUAUAUGUUUUUAUCACCUCUUUUCUAUUUAGAACUCAUAUUUUAUUAUUAUUGGUCAUACUUUAUCUAUUUAUAAGCUAACAUUUUAUCUAGAAUUUGCAGAUAUGAUCGAUCGCCCUUGAUUACAAUUAUCACGCUAUCCUCUAUCACAACAAUGACCCUAUCAAUUCUUCGUUUUUCAUACUCCGAACCCUCGCUCAAAGGCUGAUAGCCUUACUCUAUCAUGCUCUUCUCGCUUCUCUGUCAUACUCUUUUAGCCUCUCAAUCUCUCUCUUCUCGCUACUCUAAUCUUAUCCAUUCAAGCCAAUAUCGUACCUUUCAAACACCUUAGCGCUCUUUCAACUUUUAAGAGCUUCAUUUGCUUUUGAAUCUAGAACUACACACGACCUGAUUCUCGUAUAACCAGAGAUAUGUAGGCGACUUAAAACCAAAGUCUCGGUCGUACCCUUUUUCAACUCUAUAUCGUUUCAAUUGAUCCAACUGACAUCUCUCGUCGGUCGGACAAAAUCGGCUACUAAGUCAACGUUGGUUGCCUGACAAUUCAUUCUUCAUUCUCAAUCAACCAAGGGGCAGCUGUUGACACCCAAUUUUGACCGACCUUUGAACUUUUUUAGAAAUCCUAUUCGAUUAAAUACGUAUUUUAAAUUUAGAAUUUUUAGUCGACUUUGCUUGAAAAUUAUAUAUUUUAGUAUGUUUUACUUUAUAAAAUUAUCGUAAAUAUUAUAAUAUUUUAAAAUUAUUAAUGAAUUUCAAAUGUUUUAAAAUUUAAAUGAUUUUCUCAAUUAAAAUGUUUUGACUCUUCUUUAUUUAAGGAAAAUAUAUUGCUCUUCCUAAUUCUUUCUUGCUUAAGUUUAGUAAAAAAAAAUUUUAAUAAUCUGAUUUGGCUCUUAAAAUAAGAAUAAGUUUAAUUGAUUUUCUUAUUUUUAAAUUUACUAAUUUAUUCUUACUUGUUUAUAUUUGGUAAUGAAAUAUAUUAACAUAUUUUUUGAUUUGGAUAUCCUUUAAAAUAAGGAAAAUUGUAUUAUGAUUGAUUCCUUGAAAUAUUUAUUUCCUUUAUUUGUUCCCCCCUCCUCUACUAUAUAAAGAGACUCCUUUUAUUCAUUCAGACACUCAUUCACUCUCAACCAAAAAUUCUCUCAUCACUCUCACUUCUCUCAUUGCUCUCUUGGCUACUUAACAAAACAUUAAUAUUUCGGUAAUUAUUCAAGGGUUCUUCUUUGCUAUCUUAUUACUUUGUUCGAGUAAAGGUUGAAUCAAUUCGUUUUGCUUAACGGGUUAGUAAUCUUAACAUUCAUACUAUCUUCAUAUUCACAUAUUUGUGUAAACCAUUGUCUGUUUUUUAUAUAGAAUUCGUCAUUAAACGAUUGCAUAUUGUCUCACCUUAACUAACAAGUGUGAUUACUUGUGUAGUUAUUUAAUUACUUUGACAGGUUUCAUAUUUGAAGUUCAAGUUGAAGAUUAACUGAAGAAGGAUUUGUUUAUUUGUUUGAAUGUAUAUAUAUAUCUAUAUAUUUUUAUUUUUUCCGCUAUUUUAUUUAUUUGAAUGAUGUAACAGUUGUAACCCUAAAGAUCAUAUAAUAAAUUUAUUUGGGGGUCGUCUAUGGGAGGGGGAUUUAUAUGCUUACUUGCUUCAUUAAUUUUUUUUAGAAAUCAUGCCUAUAGGUUUGUCUUUAAUCGCCUUGAUUUAAUAUUUGUAGGUGUUAUAAUCUAACCAAUUUUCAAUUUACUUGACGCUUUCGUUAAUAAGUCUAAAAAAAAAAUAACUAGAUUCCAUUAAUUUUUAAAUAUUAAAAUCAAGUCCUAAUAAUAAUAGGUUGUUAGAUGUUAAAAUAUGUUAUAAAUUUUCAUUUGUCUUAUCACGUAGAACUAUGCCUAAGUAUUAAAUUGUUCACAUCAUUUACAAAAUCAUGCAUAUAUAUGUUACUCUGUUUUUUUAAACACCUAGAAAUCAUGUCUAUAGGGUUGUAAAUAAACUCUCAGCAUGUCCAUAAAAAAUAAAAUUUUGUUUGUGCAUAUUUGAGCCCUCCCCUAAAAUUAGUUAAUAUUAUUUAACUAGUAAUCCCAUUCGUUUUUCUUGAAGAUUUCCGCAUUCCUUGCAAUAUGUUAUUUUCUUAAAUUAACACUAAAUUAGAAUCAUUUCAUGCAUUUAACUUGACUUUAAAAAACAUUUCAUAUCAAAACCUUGUAACAUAAUUUUCUCAAAAAGUCAUUAUUCAAUCUUCUUUUAAAACUUUGGAUUGAUUUUGACAUUGUUUGUUUUUGAAAAUAAAUUAUAAGCACUAUCUCCUAACCUAUCGUUAGUGGGAAAGUCAAAGGAACUACGAGGUCUAGUUCCAAUUUUUAAACCCGACGCAUCCUCGGAAGUACCGCCUACCCAUGAAUUAAAAAAAAAUUAUGUGCAUUUAUAUGUAAAUGUUUAUGUGCCUACGUGUGAACUAAAUCUUUUAAAUCAUUUUUCAAAACAUAACUAUUUUUAGACCGACCUCAAAUCAAAAUUGUUUUCUAUGGUGGAGGAGCGCGAUCAAUAAUAUCGUGGCAUCAUCCCUAUAAAGAAACAAACAUUUUUUUAAUAAAAAUUCCUAUUCAAAACUUAUCAAUUUUCAACUUUAUUUUCGCACAUAUUAAUUGCUUAAUAUUUGCCAAUUUUGUUUAUAACAUAGUGUCGUAUGUCAAAAUAAAUAAAAUGAGCUUAAUUGUUUAUUUAUUGUCAUCGCCUAGUUUUACAUAUCUAAAUAAAUAAGAAUAAUAGUCUUAAUUGUUUCGUAUUUGUUAUCACUUAGUAAGAUUAAAUAAAUUAAUAAACGACCUUGAUUGCUACUUGUACCCCCACAUAGAUUGCAUGAGAUACGGCCGGGACCCACACUUGUGGACCUCGAGGGAUGCCUAACACCUUCCCCUCGAGGUAAUUUGAACCCUUACCCUAAUCUCUGGCCCG